CCUACGGGAGGCAGCAGUGGGGAAUAUUGGACAAUGGGCGCAAGCCUGAUCCAGCCAUGCCGCGUGAGUGAUGAAGGCCCUAGGGUUGUAAAGCUCUUUCAGCGGGGAAGAUAAUGACGGUACCCGCAGAAGAAGCCCCGGCUAACUUCGUGCCAGCAGCCGCGGUAA
rnacentral:rRNA from 1 species